rnacentral:misc_RNA from 1 species
GAAAUGCGAUAAGUAGUGUGAAUUGCAGAAUUCAGUGAAUCAUCGAAUCUUUGAACGCACAUUGCGCCCCUUGGUAUUCCAUGGGGCAUGCCUGUUCGAGCGUAAUUUGUACCCUCAAGCUCUGCUUGGUGUUGGGUGUUUGUCCCGUCUCCGCGCGUGGACUCGCCCCAAAGUGAUUGGCAGCCGGCGUACUGGUCCCGGAGCGCAGCACAUGUCGCGCAAACGAGUGCCUUGGUACGGCGGCGUCCAUAAGCCCCUCUCUCACGCUCUUGACCUCGGAUCAGGUAGGGAUACCCGCUGAACUUAAGC